UCAAAGCAUGUUCUUGCCUUAAAAUCAAUUGCUCACAUUUCAUUUCUGUCAGGAAGAAGCAAUGAAGAGAUUAAUUAAAGCAGUUGUAGGCGACCUUAGGGUGAAAGACGUUGAAUUCUCUAAGACAACCAAGAAUCUUCUCUUGUGUUUGGAGCCUUCAUUGACAAGGUCAGGUCAUGGAAUAAGAAUU